rnacentral:lncRNA from 1 species
CUUAGGUGAGCACUGAGGUGUCAGCCCUGUGCUGAGAAAUGUGUUUCAGACAAGAGAAUAAUGAAGUGAAUGAUGCUCUUCAGUUCUCGCACUCACGAAUUCGCAGGGGAGGCCUCAGGAGGACAGGGCACGCUGUCAGGAGGGACCGGUACAGGGACAGUAGGCUGCAUCUUGGCUGCUUCCACUACCUCGGUAAGGAAGGCGAUAACAUAAUGAAUGGACACAGCCAAGAUCUGCAAAGGAAUCUUGCUUCAGUGUGUGGCAUUUCAGGGAGAAAAGAUUUUUUAAAAAAACACAACACAAUUAAAACUGUUCCCACUGGACUCGCCUCCAGAGGAAGGGGAGACGUGAUGACAACACAAGCAGCUGUCUGCUUCAUCCAUCCAUCUGUGUUUUAUUUCUCAGUGAUUCCUGCCCAAAGCUGAGUUUAGUUACCUGCUUGCCCACCCACCAUUUAGAAAGAAAGAAAAUAUUGGCUAUAAAUCAGAACUACCGGUUCGCAUCCCAGACUUUCCUGUCCUGUGGAGUCCAUAGAUUUCCAGAUCGCUGUGAGAUUGCUUGGAGUAUUCCCCAAAUGACAACAAGUGUGUUCUAUUUUUUUUAAUUGCUUUUAAAUUGCAUGA